rnacentral:misc_RNA from 1 species
GGGUUUCGGGGAAGCCUCCGGCGCUUCGGUUUGCGGUGCCUGAUGGAAUUGUUGAGUUCAAUGAUCAGUUUCGGGGGCCGCAGCGAUUUAAUGUAGCAAAGGAGCUGGGUGAUUUUGUCAUCGCCAAGGCCGAUAGGACACCU